AGAGUUUGAUCCUGGCUCAGGACGAACGCUGGCGGCGUGCCUAAUACAUGCAAGUAGAACGCACAGUUUAUACCGUAGCUUGCUACACCAUAGACUGUGAGUUGCGAACGGGUGAGUAACGCGUAGGUAACCUGCCUGGUAGCGGGGGAUAACUAUUGGAAACGAUAGCUAAUACCGCAUAAUAUUGAUUAUUGCAUGAUAAUUGAUUGAAAGAUGCUAUUGCAUCACUACCAGAUGGACCUGCGUUGUAUUAGCUAGUAGGUGAGGUAACGGCUCACCUAGGCGACGAUACAUAGCCGACCUGAGAGGGUGAUCGGCCACACUGGGACUGAGACACGGCCCAGACUCCUACGGGAGGCAGCAGUAGGGAAUCUUCGGCAAUGGACGAAAGUCUGACCGAGCAACGCCGCGUGAGUGAAGAAGGUUUUCGGAUCGUAAAGCUCUGUUGUAAGAGAAGAACGGGUGUGAGAGUGGAAAGUUCACACUGUGACGGUAUCUUACCAGAAAGGGACGGCUAACUACGUGCCAGCAGCCGCGGUAAUACGUAGGUCCCGAGCGUUGUCCGGAUUUAUUGGGCGUAAAGCGAGCGCAGGCGGUUAGAUAAGUCUGAAGUUAAAGGCUGUGGCUUAACCAUAGUACGCUUUGGAAACUGUUUAACUUGAGUGCAGAAGGGGAGAGUGGAAUUCCAUGUGUAGCGGUGAAAUGCGUAGAUAUAUGGAGGAACACCGGUGGCGAAAGCGGCUCUCUGGUCUGUAACUGACGCUGAGGCUCGAAAGCGUGGGGAGCGAACAGGAUUAGAUACCCUGGUAGUCCACGCCGUAAACGAUGAGUGAUAGGUGUUAGGCCCCUUUCCGGGGCUUAAUGCCCCAGCUAACCCAUAAAACCCCCCCCCGGGGGAAGACCACCGCAAAGGUGAAACUCAAAAGAAAUGACGGGGGGCCCCCACAACCGGGGGAAAAUUUGGUUUAAAUUUCAAACAAACCCCAAAAAACUUUACCCAGGUCUUUAAAUUCC
rnacentral:rRNA from 1 species